GACGAACGCUUUCUUCGCGCCUAACACAUGCAAGUCGAACGGAACUGAGAGAAGCUUGCGUUUCUUAGCUUAGUGGCGCACGGGUGAGUAACGCGUGAGUAACCUGCCCUGGAGUGGGGGACAACAGUUGGAAACGACUGCUAAUACCGCAUAAGCCCACGAUCCGGCAUCGGAUUGAGGGAAAAGGAUUUAUUGGCUUCAGGAUGGACUCGCGUCCAAUUAGCUAGUUGGUGAGGUAACGGCCCACCAAGGCGACGAUUGGUAGCCGGACUGAGAGGUUGAACGGCCGCAUUGGGACUGAGACACGGCCCAGACUCCUACGGGAGGCAGCAGUGGUGGAUAUUGCACAAUGGGGGAAACCCUGAUGCAGCGACGCCGCGUGGAGGAAGAAGGUUUUCGGAUUGUAAACUCCUGUCGGUAGGGACGAUAAGGACGGGACCUAACAAGAAAGCACCGGCUAACUACGU
rnacentral:rRNA from 1 species